rnacentral:rRNA from 1 species
GUGCCAGCAGCCGCGGUAAGACGUAGGGGUCAAGCGUUGUCCGGAUUUAUUGGGCGUAAAGAGCUCGUAGGCGGUUCAACAAGUCGGUCAUAAAAGUUUAGGGCUCAACCCUAAAAUGUCGAUCGAUACUGUUGUGACUAGGAUACGGUAGAGGUGAAUGGAAUUCCGAGUGUAGCGGUGAAAUGCGUAGAUAUUCGGAGGAACACCAAUUGCGAAGGCAGUUCACUGGACCGUGAUCGACGCUGAGGAGCGAAAGCUAGGGGAGCAAACAGGAUUAGAUA